GAAUGAAAUGAUGAGUAAUUGUUUCCCUAUUGGUUUGAUUGCCUGGAUGAUGGCACUUUGUAUUAGUUCUAUCUGAUCAUUC